GCCAUCAUCAUAUCCUUACCUCAUAUUCUCUAGUUUAUACUUCAGUACAUAUAUACAACUAACAAAUGUUGACGGUAUUGGCAGAAUGUUGCAUGGAUGGUCUCUAUUUGCAAGUGCUUAGUAUAAUUCUAGGCAUCACACCAUGGUGACCCACCACUAUAAGGGCCAAUCCAUGUCAAUAUUUCCGUCUUGGCGACGCUAUAGUAUUAGUAUUGCUGAGGACAAGGCAUUCCCAUGUUUUAUUCCAAAGCUUCCAACUCACCUUCUGCUCAUAGCUUGAAUUGUAGUUCCAUUUAGCUCUGAAAUGGAAAGGGCUAGAGAGGUAAC
rnacentral:lncRNA from 1 species